rnacentral:tRNA from 1 species
GCGGGCGUGGCGAAAUUGGGAAUACGCGCCGGCUUUAGGUGCCGGUGCUCGAAAGAGCGUGAGGGUUCGAGUCCCUCCGCCCGCA